rnacentral:rRNA from 1 species
GACGAACGCUGGCGGCGUGCUUAACACAUGCAAGUCGAACGGAAAGGCCCUGCUUUUGUGGGGUGCUCGAGUGGCGAACGGGUGAGUAACACGUGAGUAACCUGCCCUUGACUUUGGGAUAACUUCAGGAAAAUGGGGCUAAUACAGGAUAGGAGCUCCUGCUGCAUGGUGGGGGUUGGAAAGUUUCGGCGGUUGGGGAUGGAAUCGCGGCUUAUCAGCUUGUUGGUGGGGUAGUGGCUUACCAAGGCUUUGACGGGUAGCCGGCCUGAGAGGGUGACCGGCCACAUUGGGACUGAGAUACGGACCAGACGCCUACGGGAGGCAGCAGUGGGGAAUAUUGCACAAUGGGCGGACGCCUGAUGCAGCAACGCCGCGUGCGGGAUGACGGCCUUCGGGUGGUAAACCGCUUUCGCCUGUGACGAAGCGUGAGUGACGGUAAUGGGUAAAGAAGCACCGGCUAACUACGUG